GACGAACGCUGGCGGCGUGCUUAACACAUGCAAGUCGAACGGAAAGGCCCUGCUUUUGUGGGGUGCUCGAGUGGCGAACGGGUGAGUAACACGUGAGUAACCUGCCCUUGACUUUGGGAUAACUUCAGGAAACUGGGGCUAAUACCGGAUAGGAGCUCCUGCUGCAUGGUGGGGGUUGGAAAGUUUCGGCGGUUGGGGAUGGACUCGCGUCUUAUCAGCUUGUUGGUGGGGUAGUGGCUUACCAAGGCUUUGACGGGUAGCCGGCCUGAGAGGGUGACCGGCCACAUUGGGACUGAGAUACGGCCCAGCCUCCUACGGGAGGCAGCAGUGGGGAAUAUUGCACAAUGGGCGGGAGCCUGAUGCAGCAACGCCGCGUGCGGGAUGAAGGCCUUCGGGUUGUAAACCGCUUUCGCCUGUGACGAAGCGUGAGUGACGGUAAUGGGUAAAGAAGCACCGGCUAACUACGUG
rnacentral:rRNA from 1 species